CAGGUGGCCUUCCAUGAGACUCCAGCAGGGCAAGAGAGAGAUGGAGGUAGCUGGCUGGCUUUGGACUGCCUUGUCCUUGGAACGGCCCACAGAAUUUUCCCCACAGUCCAUAGGCUGGAACUAGUCACAUGGCCCCACAACCACAAGGGAGGCUGAGAUAUGGAGGGGAGCAUGUGCAUAUUUGGUACAUAUCGAGCAUGUGUAAGCCCUGUGUGCCAAGGGUGAUGCCAAAGAGCUAGAAGUUGUGACCUAGUUGAGCAAACUGUCUGCUUGGAUCCUAUGGAUGCGUCCCUCAGCGUGGGUCAAGCAAGGAAGAAUCCAGUGGCAAAGAUUCACCUGGGGAGACAAUGGAAAAAGGGAUCUCAGGGCUAACUUGGGCCAGAAUGAGGCAGAGCUACCACCUGGAGCAGGGGACAGGAACCGUCAGGACACAAGGUGCCCCAGUUUUACAGCCACAUUUUUAUGGAUGUGCAAACCAAAGCUUAGGGAACACAAGGCAAGAAAGUGGCAGACCCAGGAUUUGAAGCUAAGACUGUUUAACACCAAAGUCUUCACUCUUAAUAUCACAGCAGGAAUAAGGUGAGGUUAUUUUAUUCAAGCAACCUAAUUCAGAUUAGGUCAGAACACUAUGAAUUCAUUUUGUUCCCUUGCUCCAUCCUACUGAGAUCAAUUUAAUUCACUUAGUAUUUAUGGAGUGCCAUGAACUCAAUUCACUAUGUUAAAUGGGAGGGCAAGAAGGGACAGGCUGGGCUUCAAGGAAAUGCUUGUAGUAAGCUGGGUGUAGAGGACCUCGGGAGGAGGAGAAGCUCAGUGCCUCCCAGAGGAGCAGCCUGGCCAAAGGUCCGAGGCAUUGAGUCAUUAGGAAUGACUUUUGGGGCUGGCAAGGUCCUACUGUCCCCAGUGCCUGCUGAGAUGGGUAAAACAUCGAGGCUGGCUGCUUCAUGGAAAGCACUUGGCUUUGGAGUCCCCCUCUGCUACUUUCUAGCUAAGUAACAGUGGGCAAGAUACUUCCACUCUCCCAAUUUGCAGGGUUGUGGUGAAGAUUUUACAAGAAAAUACAAGUAUAGCACCGGGCUCAGCGCCUGGCAUAAGGUGUUGACGGAUAUAUGUGACCUUCCGUUACCACUGAGCCACUGGGCAAGCAUCCUGUCUGCUCGUCCAGAUAGAACAACCUGGGAGGGCGCAGAGAAGCAUUUCACAGUGGGGGGUCCAGAAAGUCAGUGGCCGAGAAUAUCAGAAACAGUGACAA